GCUGUAAGCUUUAGUGUUUUCUUCACUAAGCAGGGUUGGUCCUGGUUAGUUCUUGGAUGGGAGACCGCCUGGGAAUACCAGGUGCUGUAAGCU
rnacentral:rRNA from 1 species